GACGAACGCUGGCGGCGUGCCUAAUACAUGCAAGUAGAACGCUGAAGGAGGAGCUUGCUUCUCUGGAUGAGUUGCGAACGGGUGAGUAACGCGUAGGUAACCUGCCUUGUAGCGGGGGAUAACUAUUGGAAACGAUAGCUAAUACCGCAUAAUAGUAGAUGUUGCAUGACAUUUGCUUAAAAGGUGCAAUUGCUUCACUACCAGAUGGACCUGCGUUGUAUUAGCUAGUUGGUGGGGUAACGGCUCACCAAGGCGACGAUACAUAGCCGACCUGAGAGGGGGGUCGGCCGGACUGGGACGGAGACACGGCCCAGACGCCUACGGGAGGCAGCAGGAGGGAAACUUGGGCAAUGGGCGGAAGUCUGACCGAGCAACGCCGCGGGAGGAAAGAAGGUUUUCGGAUCGGAAAGCUCUGUUGUAAGAGAAGAACGAGUGUGAGAGUGGAAAGUUCACACUGUGACGGUAACUUACCAGAAAGGGACGGCUAACUACGUG
rnacentral:rRNA from 1 species